UACAGAGGAUGCAAGCGUUAUCCGGAAUGAUUGGGCGUAAAGGGUCUGUAGGUGGCCUCUUGAGUCUGCUGUUAAAAGAUCAGGGCUUAACCCUGUAAAGGCAGUGGAAACUAAGAGGGUAGAGUACGGUAGGGGCAGAGGGAAUUCCCCGGUGUAGCGGUGAAAAUGCGUAGAUAUCGGGAAGAACACCGACGGCGAAAGCACUCUGCUGGGCCAAAACUGACACUGAGGGGACGAAAGCUAGGGGGAGCGAAAAGGG
rnacentral:rRNA from 1 species